rnacentral:rRNA from 1 species
UGGGGGAUAUUGCACAAUGGGGGAAACCCUGAUGCAGCGACGCCGCGUGAGGGAAGAAGGUUUUCGGAUUGUAAACCUCUGUCAGGGGGGACGAUAAUGACGGUACCCCUUGAGGAAGCCACGGCUAACUACGUGCCAGCAGCCGCGGUAAUACGUAGGUGGCAAGCGUUGUCCGGAAUUACUGGGUGUAAAGGGAGUGUAGGCGGGAGACUAAGUCAGAUGUGAAAUGCGCAGGCUCAACUUGCGAGCUGCAUUUGAAACUGGUUUUCUUGAGUGAAGCAGAGGCAGGCGGAAUUCCUAGUGUAGCGGUGAAAUGCGUAGAUAUUAGGAGGAACACCGGUGGCGAAGGCGGCUUGCUGGGCUUUUACUGACGCUGAGGCUCGAAAGCGUGGGGAGCAAACAGGAUUAGAUACCCUGGUAGUCCACGCCGUAAACGAUGUUCACUAGGUGUGGGGGGAUUGAACCCUUCCGUGCCGCAGCUAACGCAUUAAGUGAACCUACCU